CCCUUAGAGUUUGAUCCUGGCUCAGAAUCAACGCUGGCGGCGUGCCUAACACAUGCAAGUCGAACGCGAAAGCCCCGCAAGGGGUAAGUAGAGUGGCAAACGGGUGAGUAACACGUGGGUGACCUGCCUUCGAGUGGGGGAUAACGUCCCGAAAGGGACGCUAAUACCGCAUGACAUCCUGCCUUUAGAGAGGUGGAGAUCAAAGCCGGGGAUCGCAAGACCUGGCGCUUGAAGAGGGGCCCGCGCCUGAUUAGCUAGUUGGUGGGGUAAUGGCUCACCAAGGCAACGAUCAGUAUCCGGCCUGAGAGGGCGGACGGACACACUGGGACUGAGACACGGCCCAGACUCCUACGGGAGGCAGCAGUGGGGAAUUGUUCGCAAUGGGCGCAAGCCUGACGACGCAACGCCGCGUGGAGGAUGAAGAUCUUCGGGUCGUAAACUCCUGUCGAGCGGGACGAACGCUUCGCGGAUUAACACUCCGCGGAAUUGACGGUACCGCUAAAGGAAGCCCCGGCUAACUCCGUGCCAGCAGCCGCGGUAAUACGGGGGGGGCAAGCGUUGUUCGGAAUUACUGGGCGUAAAGGGCUCGUAGGCGGCCGUCUAAGUCGGAUGUGAAAUCCCCAGGCUCAACUUGGGAACUGCAUCCGAUACUGGAUGGCUUGAAUCCGGGAGAGGGAUGCAGAAUUCCAGGUGUAGCGGUGAAAUGCGUAGAUAUCUGGAGGAAUACGGGUGGCGCAGCGGCAUCCUGGACCGGCAUUGACGCUGAGAGCGAAAGCCAGGGAGCAAACGGAUAGAUACCCCGGUAGUCUGG
rnacentral:rRNA from 1 species